UACGUAGGUCGCAAGCGUUGUCCGGAUUUACUGGGCGUAAAGAGCGCGCAGGCGGCUGGUCAAGUCCGAUGUGAAAUCUCCCGGCUCAACUGGGAAACUGCAUCGGAAACUGAUCGGCUUGAAGAUGGGAGAGGGUAGUGGAAUUCCCGGUGUAGUGGUGAAAUGCGUAGAGAUCAGGAAGAACACCGGUGGCGAAGGCGCUCUGCUAGGCCGUAACUGACACUGAGGGACGAAAGCUAGGGGAGCGAAUGGG
rnacentral:rRNA from 1 species